rnacentral:tRNA from 1 species
GUGGAGGUGCCAAAGUGGUUAUCAGGCAUGACUAGAAAUUAUGUGGGCUUUGUCCACGCAGGUUCGAAUCUUGUCAUCCACG